rnacentral:rRNA from 1 species
AACCCCUGUGAACAUACCACUUGUUGCCUCGGCGGAUCAGCCCGCUCCCGGUAAAACGGGACGGCCCGCCAGAGGACCCCUAAACUCUGUUUCUAUAUGUAACUUCUGAGUAAAACCAUAAAUAAAUCAAAACUUUCAACAACGGAUCUCUUGGUUCUGGCAUCGAUGAAGAACGCAGCAAAAUGCGAUAAGUAAUGUGAAUUGCAGAAUUCAGUGAAUCAUCGAAUCUUUGAACGCACAUUGCGCCCGCCAGUAUUCUGGCGGGCAUGCCUGUUCGAGCGUCAUUUCAACCCUCAAGCCCUCGGGUUUGGUGUUGGGGAUCGGCGAGCCCUUGCGGCAAGCCGGCCCCGAAAUCUAGUGGCGGUCUCGCUGCAGCCUCCAUUGCGUAGUAGUAAAACCCUCGCAACUGGAACGCGGCGCGGCCAAGCCGUUAAACCCCCAACUUCUGAAUGUUGACCUCGGAUCAGGUAG